UGGCUCAAUGGUUAAGAGCACUGACUGCUCUUCCAGAGGACCUGGGUUCAAUUCCCAG
rfam:Neotoma lepida isolate 417 scaffold_152, whole genome shotgun sequence.